GUUAUUCUCAGAGCAAGGGUAUGAUAGUCUAUAAUUUAAUAUCAGUUUGAAGAAAAACUUUGAGAAAAUAUAAAUUAGUUGUACGGUAUCAUACAAGUUAAAAUCCUUUUUCUCAAUGUAUGUAAUAAGUAAAUUGAAUUAGCAGGAAAGGAAAAGAAGAAAAUCAGUGGUAGGCAAAGCAAAGAACAAGAGAGGCGAACCAGCGGAACCAUGGGGAACUCCGUAGGAUUCAAAGGUUGGCCCAGCGUCGUAAAUUGAUCCUUGAUACUCCGUCUUCUUGACAGUGUUAAACUUAUCCUUUAUCUUACCACUCCACCUUCGACCUUGCAGGUGCAUAUUCUCGAACCCCUCACCACUGAACCACCCUUCACGAUCCUCGCUCGCCGAGUACUCCUUCCACCCAUCCGAGAACGGCGACCCGUCCGGAGGUGGCGGCAGGAGGUGGAGGAAGGCGGCGAAGGCCAGGUCAUGGUUGCCGG
rnacentral:lncRNA from 1 species